CAAGUAGUAGCGACCGGCGGCGGUAGUGUGUUUUUCGCGUGAACGUGUGUGUUUGUGUGUGUGCAUAUCGUGUAUUUGCAAGUGAACAUGUGUGUGUGUGAGCAGUGAGCGGUACAACGGCCGCGUGUGCGUGCGUGUUUGUAUGUACGCGCGUAUUAUUGUGGCACUGUGUGCGUACGCUAGCGCGGCGGCGGCGGCGGCGGCGGUGGUGAUAUAUAGAUAACAGUCCCGCGCGCGCGUUUUCGGGGUCUACGCGUCCGCACACCGCCGGUCCACCGCGCGCGGGCGCGUUCCACCAACUCAUACCACGCACCGCGCGCUCAUCGCGAUCGCGGGAGCCCGUGUGCGUACAACAACUCGU